CACCCCGGCCUGGCACGGCGGCCGCGGCCUCCUGGCGGACUCUGACCCCGGGCAGUGCCCCGCCGCUCUCCGCCUGGCCACGCCACCUCGCUGGCCUCGCGCCUCACCUCUUCCCAGGCGCCGGCCGAGCGAGUUGGGUCUUGCAGUCGCCCACCGCCCCGCUCUGCAGAUCGGUAGACUGAGGCCCGGCUAGGCGCGCAGCUCCGCGGGGCGGGAGUGGCUGAGCUAGGCGCUGACACGCCCUCUGUCCGCCCCAGAGGCAGCUCUUUGAGAUUCAGUCCACUCCGGCGCCCACCCCCAGGUUGUCCAGAAAGUCCACUGGGCCAGGACGGUCACCCGUGGGCCUGACCUUCGGCGGUGCUCAGGGCCGAGCCCCUGCUCCAGCCGAGCCUCUUGGGACUCGGGCCACCUCUUCCCGAGCUGCUGUGCAGGGCAAGUGUGCAAGUCCCAGCCCCCUUCCCCUCGCCGGUCCCACCCUACCUAGGCCUGAGUGACUCGCCUCACCUGCUGCGGCGUAUUCAGAGCUAGGCACGCAUUUCCGCUCACCUGAACCCCUACGCCAGCCUUCCUGGGCUCAGCCUGCACUGCCUCCUCAGGGAGCCCCACCACCACCACCACCAGCCUGCUCCCGCUGCAUUCUGGGUCCUUCUGUUGUCCUAGAUGAGGACUACCAGCGCUAGCCCAGCCCCGCGGGCUCCGUGCAGCCUCCACGCAGGUUCAGUGUCCUGUGUGCCAUCUCAGCCCCACCCCUCCAUGGCUGAGCAGUGGAGUGCCUGGCCCUGCCUAAGACCCUGGCUCUGGAGUUUAGUCUGUGAGUCUGCUCCUGCUUGACACGCCCCUAUCUAAGGCAGCGGAUUCACUGGCUCCUCAAGGCUGAAGGCAACCGGGAACCAGUACCCAUCUCUAAUCUUGCAAAGGAAUUCAGUGAGAAAUGGAAUAAAAAAAUCACCAAGCA